rnacentral:rRNA from 1 species
GACGAACGCUGGCGGCGUGCCUAAUACAUGCAAGUUGAGCGCUGAAGGUUGGUACUUGUACCAACUGGAUGAGCAGCGAACGGGUGAGUAACGCGUGGGGAAUCUGCCUUUGAGCGGGGGACAACAUUUGGAAACGAAUGCUAAUACCGCAUAAAAACUUUAAACACAAGUUUUAAGUUUGAAAGAUGCAAUUGCAUCACUCAAAGAUGAUCCCGCGUUGUAUUAGCUAGUUGGUGAGGUAAAGGCUCACCAAGGCGAUGAUACAUAGCCGACCUGAGAGGGUGAUCGGCCACAUUGGGACUGAGACACGGCCCAAACUCCUACGGGAGGCAGCAGUAGGGAAGCUUCGGCAAUGGACGAAAGUCUGACCGAGCAACGCCGCGUGAGUGAAUAAGGUUGUCGGAUCGUAAAACUCUGUUGGUAGAGAAGAACGUUGGUGAGAGUGGAAAGCUCAUCAAGUGACGGUAACUACCCAGAAAGGGACGGCUAACUACGUG